UGAAAUUCAUAGGGUAAGAACACAGAGCCCUGUUCAACCCUCUCCGUUUCCACUCUCCUGACGAAUGGAAUUCCUUCCUAAACGUUUGACUCCACUGAAGAACCAGUCAAGGCGGACACCUUCCCCUGCUACAGUCCGCUGAUGGUUAAGUAGAAAACAAUGGAAAACAACAGAAGAAAGAAAGGAUUCGCGAAAGUGCCAGAGAGCCCAGGAAGCACAAUUUAGCGGCGUCAUUAUUUCAAUCUGACUGACGACAUCUUGGCGUACUGCAUGACGUCACCGGAAGUGGUGUGAUGCUGCUGUUCCACCAGGAAGUGGCAUAGUGUAGCUGUUAAACUCAAAAUAUGCAAAGGCAGUCAAGGUAGAAAGCCUCUUCGGGACCCUGAAUAACUGGGUCCCUGCUGGCGGGGACAAGUGGCGCCCGAACACAGGGACCCCGAAGCAAGGCCGACUACAGGACGAUGGAGAUAAGAGAGCUGCAGCGGGAAUCGAGGACUCUUCAGGCCGCAUCGCUCGUGCGUCGCUGGAGAGGGAGGUAAGGACCGGUCGAAUAAUUGUCGUCUAAUUGCCAUGGGGAAGGUAUGGAUUUAGGAGGCUUGUUUCAUAGGAGAGAUCAAGCGCUCACUCAGGGAGAGAGGAUUAAGAGUUAAGAAAAAGGAUUUAAUCAAGUUUUUUUGUUUUAUUGAUGAAAGGUAUCCCUGGUUAAUUUUAAGCAGUGUGGGGCUAGCUUAAGUAAAACUUGUAAUAAAAAAGGGACAAGGUAAUGGUAAAGUGUUUUUGCAUAUGCGUUCUUUUAGAGUUAUAUUUUAGUCUUUGGAUCCUGACUAGAGAUAGUUUACACCCUAGACAUGAGAGAGAAUGGGUUUGGGAAAAACAGUCCUCCCGGACUCUCCACAGAUGCUUUGGAGAAAGAGAAAAACUUUUCAGGGCUCUCCUGGGAACAGAAGAAAGGCAGGAGACGUCCUGCCUCUCUGCUGGCUCCUAUUGGAGAAAUGCUUAUUUCUAGUUCUGGGUUCCAUAAGUAGGAUAUGUGGAUCCCUAUCGUGGGACACCAUCUAGUUUUUUCCCUCUAUGUCUAUUGUGUGUCCUUGGUGCACCAAGCUAUCCAUGUCUGUCAGUUUAUGUCUGUGGUCUUUGUUUCUCGUUGUUUAAAUGUUUUAUGUUUCGUGUUCAAAAGAAAAAAUGAUAAAAACUUUAUCUGCCAGUCGUUCACACCUUGACUUGGUUUUAACUCGUUUCAAGAAGGGAACAAUGCAUAAAGAACAGUUUCAAUUGGCUUUUGGAGCCUACAUCUGUAGCUAGAAGCCUAAGUCUGCUGGACAAGCUCCCCAGGGGCUGGCUAAAUGUUUAUACUAGCUGAUCCUAAAGACACCAGGAGCUUCACAGCUUAAAAGGUGUAACAUUGGUAACAGAAAGUUGGCUUAAAACUGUAAUUUGGAUAUGAGCCAACCUAGGGAAACAGGUCCAAAUUGAGGUAAUAUUUUUAUGGAACUCUUAUCCUAGAAACCAGGCUUCUAAAAGAUUUUAGGGCAAUGUCUCUUUGUUGAGGUAUUGGAGACCGCACCGUCGGGUGUUCAUAUGUAGGAAUUGGCAGUCAUAGCCAAAGUUGUGGUUUGCCCUAAAGUUACUGUAUUUUGAUGCUAAUUCCACUGCCCCAAGAACAGCUGCCUAGUCACAUACUCAGAACUCAGGUGACUUUCCAAAGUUGUGGCUGUGCUCUGGUGUUACAAAGAGAUCUUAAAGAUUGUGAUUAAAGACUGUCAGUGUUACAUUGACUAACUCAAACUUAUUUAUAAUUAAGAAAAAAAUCAAACAGGUAGAGAUUGUUACAGGAUUUACGAAGGAUUGAUGAGGUUUUAGAACUUGUGAGAGCAUUACAGCUUGUUUGCUUACUCCAACUGCCAUUUCAAGAUAGAUUUAGAGGAUUGUUUUUAUGCAGUUUGUUUACAUCCUGGCGAUUAUGAGUUUUUAUUUUGUGAGCUUGCUUAUAAUUUUAGAGAGCCCAUGAAGUGAUAUCAUUAAAAAUUUUUUACAAAAGAGUGGCUACUAGCCUUAUAUUAUGUAAUUUUGUUGCUUCUUCAAUGUAAGAAGUUAGAACUUUGAAUCUUUCAGUGUAUAUGGACAUUUUUACUACAAACCUUUGCUCUCAAAAUGAGCUUUAACAUUUGGGGAGUAACUAUUGCUCCAGAGAAGAUUCAAUAUUCAUUUUUAAUAUUUAAAACUAAUUUUAAGCUUCUAAGGAUAUGUUAAUUGCCAAAGUACCUCACCUUACCAGAGGACUUAACUUUGUUAUCCUCAUUGGAGAUAAAGCUUUUGUCAUUAGUACAAAAUUGUAGGCUAGAGUCAUGGAAGUAUUUUAAAAAGAAACCUGGUGAAACAUACCUUAUUCCAAACAGCAAUCAAAUUGGUUAUUACAAAAUACUGAUAUUUGGCCUAUUACAUAUACAAAUUUCAGGCAAAAUUGAUAAUUUUACUCCUUGCAUGCUUUUGUAUUUCCUGUAUAUUUGUGCAUACAACCCAUAGGAAAUGUGCUUACUGUAUUUAUAGGUGGUUCAUCUAAUGAAAAGGCUACAUGUAUGAUUGGAUCACUUGUUUAUUCUCUUGAGUUUCUGCUGCUUCAGCACAGAUUAUUAAAUUCCUGGCUUUAGCCACUGUUUUUAUAAUGUUAAAAAAAUCAAGCUUUCAAUUCAUACGCUGAUAGCCAAUGUGUGGCUUGUGGUUUUACAAUUGAUUAAAAAGUUUUCGUUCUUUUGUUUUUUUUUUUUAGAUACUACUAGCCCUCAAAUUUUACAAUUACUUAAUGCUAUAUUAGAGGCAGGUUUUCUACUUAAAAUCAAAGUGAUUUCAGUGUGAAUUGUCUGACAACUCACUGUCCUUUCAGUGCUCUGGCUCAGACAACUAAACAAAACCAUAGACCCAGCUCUUUGAAAAUGAUAAUGGAGUUGAUAACACUCCCUCACAAAUAGAGGAAGACUCCAUUUGCUUACUUUCAACUCCCAGCCUCACCUUGCCGGCUCAGGGAUUUCUAGUACAGUAUUUAUAGGAUUUGGCAUCUCUAAUUAAUGCUUAUGUUUAGGUAAAUAAAGCUGGUAAGGGGCUGGAGAGAUGGCUUAGUGGUUAAGAGCACUAAGUACUGUUCCUUUAUAGGCCAUUUAAGAACUCAAACUGGAUUGCCUGGACACCUUACUUAGCAAGGGAGGACAAUGAUACCAGGCAGAUUAUAGGCCUUAUAUAGAAACAGUUAGUCAAAAAAUCUCAUUCUUUAUAUAUCCAAAACAAUAAUGCUGGAGACAAUAAUUUGGUAUAAAAGUCAAUUUAUAAAUACAAGUGCUCAGUGUCCUCGAUUUAAUCCUCAAGGACUUAUCUUAAUAAAUAAUAUUUUAACAAUAUUUUAAUAAAUAAAAAGGGGAGUUAUCCCUGUAUGCUAAAAUAUGCUCCUUUUAUUUCAAUUUUAAAAUUUGGAUGCCAAGGAACACUCUGAGUUUAUGGCACCCUACAGCUAGGCAUACUUCUGCCUAGGUGAAAUAGAAAGAUCCACAUAUUGGCAUGAUCCUGUUCAGAUAUUUUAUAUGGGGAAGAGGGAAUCUUUGUGUUUUUUCUACAGGAUGCUACAGGAGUGUGCCAGCUGCCCGAGUGGCUGGUGAGCCAUGCUGAUCCUGGGAGCAUGAAGAUUCAGCUCUCCUGGUUCGGGUCCCUGGAGUCAUUCCUGUGUCCUUGGAGGAAUAUGGAGGAUUCCCACUCAUCUUUUGUCAUCACAGAAAUUCUGGCGUUGCUGCAGUCAUUGUGUCCCGUCCCACCACGGCCUGCGCUCCGACCCUCUGUGCACUGUUGCUUGGUGGAAGCUGCUGUGGACUGGGGAACUCUGCCCUGUUUUGCAGAUCUCAGACAUGGUCCCAUUGCCUGCUGGUUGUUCCAGAGAAGAAUGACCGAUCCUGAACUGUCCUGGGAAAGACCUUGGCAUUUUCGCUGCUAUUGUAGCAGCCAUUACUGCUGCAGCCAUUGUGUCUGGAGCUACCCUCCCCCAAUCUAUUGUUAAGCAAGCACAGUGGGUGAACUUUCUGGAGUAGUUGCUAACAAUUGGGAAUUCUAAAUUUUAUUACAGGAGAGGCUUGACUAGGCCCUUGGUGGUAUGGCCAUAACAGCUGAGGAGAACCAGAUGAGGUGCCUACAACUUAUCGGGAGAGGCUCAAUUUCCACAAUCUCUUAUAUUAAUGCCAUCUGGCCCUUGCUCUUUCGCCCCUGGGCUCAAGUGAGAGGAAUGAGAAGAUGACCUGAUGUAGCUAUCCUCAGGGACGGGCAACUUCCUCUGACCCUUGACCAAUCUAAGACAGGAACCUUGGGGGCGACAAGGUGAUCCUAUGACAGAUAAGGCUGGGGUUUGAGAGGUCGAUCCUAAGACAGAGGUGGCUACACCCCGUUUAAACGUGCGGGCCGGUCAAAUGCUCCUCUGCCCAGUUUCUCCCCCAAUAACACACACGUAUAGCCCAGAACGGUAUGUUACAGCAUAAGUUCAUUCCUAGCCAUUGGGGUGCAGUCCUAACUGCAAGAGUGGCUUGCCAUGGCCGAGCUGGGCACUCUGUGAGGCAUGUCUGAUCUCUCUCAGACCACUACUUCCACCUAAUGGUUUUUUUUUUUUUUAAAGAAAAAUGGGGGAGAUGCACGGAGCCAUAUUGGAUUUGGGCCUAGCCGCUUUUUGACUGCAUGGUUCAAAGUGACUCUGGGCUGUUUGGCCACAGAGACUCACCCCGAAGAUGACUGCCAUAAAUCUUAAGAUUGUUGGAUAAAGCCUCUCCCAUGAAUUUACGGCACAGGAGUAUAACAUUCAAGGGAUGCCUCAGCUCCCUUCAGCAGAUACCUUCCCUCAGCAGAUACCAGUUAUCUCCUCAGUCAACACCCAGUGUCUCCACCACCUGACCUCAUCGCCUGACUUCUUUGCCUCCAGCUAUCACUGCCUAUACCCUCAUCUCCCCCUCCUUCAUAUUUCACAAAGGUCACUCCCCCUACCUGAAAGCCUUAAAAGCUGCAAUGUUCAUCCCAAUAAACGAGACCUUGACAACAGAA